rnacentral:rRNA from 1 species
UACGUAGGGACCGAGCGUUGUCCGGAAUCAUUGGGCGUAAAGAGCGUGUAGGCGGCUUGUUAAGUCUUGCGUGAAAUCUCGGGGCUCAACCCCGAGCGGUCGUGAGAAACUGGCAGGCUAGAGUGCGGGAGAGGAGAGUGGAAUUCCUGGUGUAGCGGUGAAAUGCGCAGAUAUCAGGAAGAACACCCGUGGCGAAGGCGGCUCUCUGGAACGCAACUGACGCUGAGACGCGAAGCGUGGGAGCA